UUCUAAAACAUAAUUUUUAGUAAAAUCUGCUCAAUGAAUAAUUCAAUAGCCGCAACUAUGUUGUGCUAAGGUAGCAUAAUCAUUUGUCUUUUAAUUAAAGACUAGAACGAAAGAUAUCACAUUUAAAUUUCUUUAUCUCAAAUACAAUUUUAAAUUAUUCUAAAUAUUAAAAAAUAUUUAUAAAUUAAAUAGACGACAAGACCCUAUUAAACUUUACUUAAGUUUAACUGGGGUAGUUAAUUAAAUAUUAUUUUAAUAAUUUAUAUAUACUAAACUGACCCAAUUAAAUUGAUUUAUUGAACAAGUUACUAUAGGGAUAACAGCGUAAUAUUUUUUCAUAGAUCUUAUAAAAAAAAAAGUUUACGACCUCGAUGUUGAAUAAUAACCUUUAUAAUGCAAUAAAUCAAAAAGGAAGUCUGUUCGACUUUUAAUUAAUUACA
rnacentral:rRNA from 1 species